GAGCUGCCUCAGGUGAAGGUGUCAGUUUGGCGCCUUCGCCGGGAUUAGAAGCCAGUAAAUCGCAGGCUCGGUUCGAGCUCCAGAAAGGAGGACCAGAACCCGACAUCCUUGAGAUCCCAGUGGUUUGCCCUCCUGUCGGAGGAGGAGGUGGAGCUGGACAGCGACUUGGAUGAUGAUCCCUAAUUUUGAUGUAUCCAGUCAGUGUGGCUCUCAGAGACCAGAGUAUCCCAACUUCAACAGCUGCCAAUGUGACCCGCCAUGAGCGAUGGUACUGCAGGGGCCCCAUUUCAGUAAGCGCUGUGACCUCUACUAAUACUCACACUGGCUAUUUCAAUCCAUCCUCUCUAAAUACAUAAAUAAAUAGAUAAAAGAACAAACCUCUAACAAGCUGUUAGAAAUAAUCUGCGCUCUGUAUUCUAAUAAUACUAACGAUCAGUCGUGGAAGAGCGCUUUCCUCUAAGGCUGAGUGAUUCACUGGCCCCUCAUUCAACUUUUAUUCCACUUAGAGCUGGGUUAUAAAUACACACACUGCACAAACAUGCUCCCCUGGGUUUAUCUCUUGCUUGCUUGCUUGCUUUUAAACAGGCAGCUGCAUCCCUGUCCUUGGCUCUUGGUUUAUUUUGUAUAAUAGCCUGGCACUGCCUCAGGCUCCCCUGACUGUCCUGUGUUUGCUUUUGUUUUUCGUUGUUUACCCCUCUAGUUUGUCACAUUUAUACAUGGUGUCUUUACACCAGGGGUGGCCAAAGUUGGCCUUUCCACUCCUGGUCUUUGUUCCAACCCUGGUUUCAAUUGUUUAACUGACCCAAUUAAACCUCCUAAACACUCCAUUUUCAGAUCUGCUGUGCUGUCAUUACCAGCACCUUAGUAAUAAUGAGCACUAGUGUAAACACUGCAUUCUCAG